AUUAUAAUUUGACAUCCUGAUCAAUUAAAGUUAAAUUAAGAAGCAUAGCGGCACAAACUCGCAAAGCCAAGUGUGUUUGAAAUUGAAAAAUUUCGACCGAUCGCUUCGAACAGAUACUGACAUGAAGCAACGUAAACUUCAAAGGUUUUCCAGAGCAACGUUUUCUCAAAUCCCUGUCUUUACUGUAGAUGUAUUGUUAUACCGAAAUUGGACGCCCUCUUGUACGACCCUGGCUAAAAGCCUGGAUCUAGGGAGUCUUAAAGUCAUCCAAAUUAACUAGACAUACAUAUAUGUGUAUAUUGAUUAGGUACUGUAUAGCAGCACAACUGAGUUCUGUGACCAAAUUAUAAUGUAUCACUACUUUCAUUCUUCAACAAGAUAAUUUCAAGAUUUAAGAUGGCAAAUAACUAAAUCAGUUUCACGAAAUAGUAUACGUCGUUUACGACAACAACCAGGCUAUAAAGUAGACCAGGUUGAGGAAAAAUAACUUCGUUUGAAAGCU